rnacentral:rRNA from 1 species
AAUGAACGCUGGCGGCAUGCCUUACACAUGCAAGUCGAACGGCAGCACGACCUAGCUUGCUAGGUUGAUGGCGAGUGGCGAACGGGUGAGUAAUGCAUCGGAACGUGCCUUUUAGUGGGGGAUAACGUAGCGAAAGUUACGCUAAUACCGCAUAUUCUCUGAGGAGGAAAGCAGGGGACCUUCGGGCCUUGCGCUAGAAGAGCGGCCGAUGUCGGAUUAGCUAGUUGGUGAGGUAAAGGCUCACCAAGGCAACGAUCCGUAGCGGGUCUGAGAGGAUGAUCCGCCACACUGGGACUGAGACACGGCCCAG